AGUGAACGCUGGCGGUAGGCCUAACACAUGCGAGUCGAACGGCAGCACAGUAAGAGCUUGCUCUUACGGGUGGCGAGUGGCGGACGGGUGAGGAAUACAUCGGAAUCUACUUUUCGUGGGGGGUAACGGAGGGAAACUUAAGCUAAUAACCCCUACGGCCUACGGGUUAAAACCAGGGGUCUUCGGACCUUGCCCGGUUUGAAUAGCCGAUGUCGGAUUAGCUAGUUGGCGGGGGAAAGGCCCACCAAGGCGACGGUCCGUAGCUGGUCUGAGAGGAUGAUCAGCCACACUGGAACUGAGACUCGGUCCAGACUCCUACGGGAGGCAGCAGUGGGGAAUAUUGGACAAUGGGCGCAAGCCUGAUCCAGCCAUACCGCGUGGGUGAAGAAGGCCUUCGGGUUGUAAAGCCCUUUUGUUGGGAAAGAAAAGCAGCAGGUUAAUACCCCGCUGUUCUGACGGUACCCAAAGAAUAAGCACCGGCUAACUUCGUG
rnacentral:rRNA from 1 species